rfam:Slackia sp. CM382 contig00014, whole genome shotgun sequence.
GGGGGCGACCGGUUUCGACAUGGCAGUUUUGAACCGAAGAGCAGGCCGUGGUCUCCUCGCCACGAUAAACAGGGGUACCGUCAAGUUAAUUGGCAACAAGAACUACUCUGGGCAGUACGCCCUUGCUGCUUAAUUUAUAGCAGCUCGUCAACCCGGGCCUUUCCCCAUCCCGGCGCGACGUCAUUCCGGGGAACGCUCGCACGUCACGUGACCGGUAUGGUCGUGCGCUAAGACGGAACCGGCAUGGACGCAUCAAGCCUGUCUGCAGGCGUGAUGCGCUCGAGAUCGAAUGCAGACUAAGCUUGUAGAGCCUCGGGGAUGAGCUGGUAUGGACCGGAGUUCGAUUCUCCGCGCCUCCACCA